AUUUUUCCAUCUAGAAAAAAUUAAUUGCAACUCUGUUAUAAUAGAACAACAGAUAUGCUGUAAGUUCAACUUAGAGUUGAAGAAAUGACCUAGUUGGUCCUGAUGAUCUGAAUAUCAAAGGGAGAUAUCUGAAGCAAAAACUCUCUGCUCUUCAGAUAAAUAGUAGUUCUAGGAAACAAGGCAACAUCCUAUGCAGUAUACAAAAACAGUGCAUACAUUUUUCACCCUAGAAGCAGUGUCACUGAACAGCAAGCAAGCAAGCAUGAGUAUGGCACUUCUGCUCCAUGGCCAAGGUGCUCACCUUGGGGACUGGAGCUCCCGCAUUCCUUUCUGUUCCUCCUCGUACGUAUAUUUCAUCUAAUGGUUGUGAAUGCAAAAAUGUGGAAACAGACCAGGGAAAUGAUUCAGAUUUUCAAUCAAGCAAGUCAGAAGUUCCAUCCGGAAAGACAAAACUGCUGCCUGACAAAACUGUCUGCUAAAAGGGCAAAAAAGAUCUAACGAUGGUAGUUUCUGACAGAAAGGCAUUUUGUCAAAAAAUCCACACUAGUCAAAAUACAAGGGAACUUUGCCUUUUUCUUGUUUAAAGGAUGAAAAAGAUGUAUGUAAUUACCUACCUGCCUGACUGCAAUAAUAGGUUUACAGGGACUAAGUACUAGGGUGACUCCGAAAGUAAUGCCUCCUAUUUUGUUGGCGCACAAAGUAAGAGGUAGUUUGGCAGUUGAACCAUCCCACAAAUAUUCCAUGACAUUCUGUUGCCAUGCAACAAGUAGCAGUAGAGAAGCAGUCUGACAUGGAAGGGCAUCUGAAGCAAAGUUUCCAUGGAAAUAAAUAGAGUGCAUUACUUUUGGAACAACCAAUGUACAGGCAGCCCUGGUGGAUCUGGGUGACCAUUUAUUCUCCAAGUCUUCAGUGAUUUUCACCUCUCUGCUUUCCCUACUACUUCCUUGGACCUAUCCAUGCCUUACAGAUGCAUUAAAACACAAGAAUCUGCACAUCUUCCUCACUUCAUCUUAGAGAAAAAUACUGAAACUACAUUAGAUCACAUCUUCCCCUGCUUCACUAGUGCCAGGCUCUGGCUCCAACACUUCACCAUUUCAUGACCUUGCCCUGUGCCUAGAUAAGGGUGAAGACUCACACAAGAUAUAUGAGUAAUUGGUAGCUCAACAUUUCCCAGCUACAUAAUCGAAACUGUCAGUGGUUCCAACGAGCUCGAGCAUAUUGCUCUGCAAAGUCUGCAACAGCGUUUCCAACAAAUGGAGCAUUUAUUUACGGCCAAUUCCAGAUGCUGAGAAGGAAUACACUGCCAAAAACCUGCAGAGAAAUCUGAUGUUGAGGACCAUGCAUCCUUUUGGGAUAUGAAGCUUACCAGAUUUCCAAAAUAAAUAUCUUUCUUCUCUCAAAAACAAUAAAUUAUUCACUUAGCUUAUGUUUUGCAAAUAUCUCAAACUACCAUUGCUUAAAUUUUAAAGACGAGUACAUCAGGUGAAUGUUUAAACAAAAAUCUAAUUGACCUGUGUGAUUGCAACUGGACUUGACAGACCAGAUAAGAGAUAAUUUAGGCAGU